CUACGGGGUGCUGCAGUGGGGAAUAUUGCACAAUGGGCGCAAGCCUGAUGCAGCCAUGCCGCGUGUAUGAAGAAGGCCUUCGGGUUGUAAAGUACUUUCAGCGGGGAGGAAGGGAGUAAAGUUAAUACCUUUGCUCAUUGACGUUACCCGCAGAAGAAGCACCGGCUAACUCCGUGCCAGCAGCCGCGGUAAUACGGAGUGUGCAAGCGUUAAUCGGAAUUACUGGGCGUAAAGCGCACGCAGGCGGUUUGUUAAGUCAGAUGUGAAAUCCCCGGGCUCAACCUGGGAACUGCAGCUGAUACUGGCAAGCUUGAGUCUCGUAGAGGGGGGUAGAAUUCCAGGUGUAGCGGUGAAAUGCGUAGAGAUCUGGAGGAAUACCGGUGGCGAAGGCGGCCCCCUGGACGAAGACUGACGCUCAGGUGCGAAAGCGUGGGGAGCAAACAGGAUUAGAUACCCCUGUAGUC
rnacentral:rRNA from 1 species